AGAGACUGUCUCCAACUGCCCUCCUGGCGCUGUUGGGAGCUUGGUCUCCAGACCGGGGCGCUGCCGACUCCCGGGUACGGGAACCUCCGGCGGAGUCUCAGUGCCUCUGACUGCUGAAUCGUCCUCCUGUGGCGCGCCAAGAGCCGCCUUGCCCAAGGGAGAGCUCCCAGUCCAAAGGCAAAAUCACACGGAAUUGCCGGCUUCUAUCUGAGACAGACAGCCCUCCUCUACUGUGAAUGGGAUUCGGGAUUCGAACGGAAGCUGCCAGAGCCCCUACACCUCGCGCCGUGAGCACAGCGCCACCCACGACCUGCGGCGGUGUGGUUGGGUGUACCCAGAUGCCAUUGGUCUCUCUGCAACAUUUGGGGCACCGAAGCCAACUUGACCUGCCUGAUGCAAACAUCUGGAUUCCAGGGGAACUACCAGGGCCAGUGGCUGAAGGCACAAGCAUCGAAUCACCAGCUCUUCAGACUCCAGAUUGCAUGACCCCUUUGGCUUCAGUUACUAAGAAUUAACUCAAGGCCCCCAAAUCUCUACUUCCAAACCAAAUAUUUCUUGUGCUGAAGACCUCAAAAUCCGGCUGCCACCUGGAUGUCCACACAAGUACCUCAAGCUCUACAUGACCAAAGGAGAGUCCAUCAUAUCCCUCUUUACCCCAAAACCAGUUCAUCAAGCAGACAUCCUGACUUGAUAAAUGACCAUCAGUCACCCGAAUGAAGAUCAUGGGGCUAUUCUAAACUUAUUCCCUUCCCAUCGUCUGUAUUCAACCGGUCACAAAUUUAAAAUCUUUAGGAUUCAUCAUUACCCACCAUUCAUCCCCAAGCACACUGCUCUACUUCAGGCUUUAUCUGGGCAAUUGAACCUAACUCAAUACUGGUCUGCUUGUCCCUACUAAAGUACGUCACCACUGUGCAAACAGCAUGAUCUUCGUAAAAUAUAAAGAUGACCAGGUCAGUCUUCCCUUUAAAUAAUGUUCCCAUCAUCUACAGCAUAAAGUCCAAAAUCAUUGUCAUGAUGUAAAAAGUCCCUCCAUGACCUGGCUCCAGUUACAUGGCCAACAUCAGCUCCUGCCUCUACCUGACAUACGUCCCAUGCUCGAAAUUUACAAAACAGCUUCCUGCUCCUACAACAUGGCAUGCUCUCUCUAACAGUAAUGAUUUGGAAUGUGCUCUUCCCUCAACUUAAAUUGCACUGAUACAGCCUAAACUUUUGGACACCACUCAAGACAUAGCUCAGAAGUUACCUUUCCUGCAGUUGCUACCCCUGACACCCCAGCAGAGUCAGGGCUCCUAUAGCCCCUCAUUAAUAUUUCUAUAUACCUUGGAUGCAUCAGACUACAAUUGUGUGUUUGUGUGAAUGCCUGUCCUACUACCUACUGAGCAAGGAACAUGCCAUAUUCAUGUCUCCCACAGCAGCACAGCAUAGGUGCUCACUGCGUGCUUUGUUGAGGUGCAUGCAGGCACAUGUACACACUAUAUUAUAUUACACAUGCUUUGGGCCACGGUUGAAAGGACCCAUGAGAGCCAGGUUGUCACAAAGAGAAGGAAGGCACAGAGACCCACUUGUUUAGUGUCCCCACACUCAUCAUUCCCCCAUCGGAUCCCAGGUCCUCCUAGGCAGCAAAACUGCCUCAUCCUGAGUGAGAGAGGGACAAGCUGAUGGCUGAGGAAAGAAAAACAGGAUCUUCAGGGUCAACUGCUGGCAGCUAAGUCUCAGAAUACAUGGCUCUUGACCCCCACCCAGUGGCGAUAGGUGGUAACUGUGACCAAAUAACACCAAGAUGCAAAAAAUCAGUCACUCCCUCUAGCAAUAUCAAACAUUAUAUUAGAUCUCCAGACCAGAGAGAAGAUGACAAGUCUCCAGAAAUCAGUCCUGAGGACACAGAAUAUAUAAUCGAAAUGACUAAGAAUUCAAAAUACUAUCAAAGAUAGACAUGUUGAAAUGCUCCAGAUAGUGGAGAGAGAACUAAGACUAAAAAUAAGUGAAAAAAGUCUCUGAGAAAUAUCUGAUUCAGGAAAUGCAACAUAAGAAUCAUAGGUAUUCAAGAAGGAGAAGAGAAGCAGAAUGAAGUAGAAAGCUUGUUCAAAGAAAUAAUAGCAGAGAACGUCCCAAACCUAGGGAAGGAAAUGGAAAUCCCUGUGGAAGAGGCUAUCAGAUCUCUUAAAUAUGUCAAUGUAAAAAGACCUACUGCAAGGCAGAUAGCAGUGAAACUGGCAAAUGUGAAUGACAAAUGACAAAUGACAAAGAAUACUAAGGGCAGCAAGGCAGAAGAAAAUAACCUACAAAGGAACCCCCGUCAGGCUUACAGCAGAUUUCUCUGCAGAAAACUUACAGGCUAGGAGAGACUGGAAUGGCAUGUCAAAUCUUUGAAGGACAAAAGCUUUCAGCCAAGAAUACUCUAUUCAGUGAAAAUAUCCUCAGAUAUGAUGGAGAAAUAAAAACUUUCCCAGACAAACAUAAGCUAAGGGAGUUCAUAGCCACAAGACCCCCCCCACAACAAGAAAUCCUCAAGAAGGCCCUCAUACCUGAAAAAAAAAAAAAAGGAGAAGAGGGUUACAAAGCACGGAGUAAGGAGUUAAAUGGGCAGACAGAAUAAGAGCAGGGUUGCCAGCACUCAAGUACAGCAUGUAAGAGAAAGGGAAGGAAAAUAGCAAAAACAAAGAUAAUCUCGUCAUUUUAACCAGAAACUCAUAACACAAGGUGGAAUAAGAUGUGAAAGAAACAACUUAGGAGGGGAAGAGGAAAAGGACUGAAUCGAUUUAGUCUAAGGAAAUAAGAGGCCAUCAGAAAAGGGACUAUCUCAUCCACAAUAUUUUGAAUACAAACCUCAUGGUAACCACUAAAGAAAAAAGCAGAACAGAGACACAAAUAAUAAAUAAGGAGAAAACAAAGAAACACAACAUAAGCAAUUACAUAUCUCGACUGGUAGACCAAAAUACACAGGAUGAGAAACAAAGGAAAUGCAAGAAAACUGGAAAACAAGUGAUAAAAUGGCAGCAUUAAGCCCUCAUAUAUCGAUAAUCACCCUAAAUAUAAAUGGAUUGAAUGCUCCAAUAAAAAGACACAGAGUAGUGAGUUGGAUUAAAGAACAAGACCCAAAAAUAUGUUGCUUCCAGGAAACACAUCUCAGCUCCAAUGACAAACACAGGCUCAGAGUGAAUGGAUGGAGGAUGAUACUCUAAGUCAAUGGCAAACAAAAGAAAGCAGGUGUUGCAAUACUUAUAUCAGACAACGUAGACUUCAAGAUAAGACAGGCAAAGAGAGACAAAGAGGGGCAAUGUAUAAUGAUCAAAGAGACAUCCAUCAGGAAGAAAUAACACUUAUAAAUCUCUAUGCUCCCGACACAGGCGCACCAAAAUACAUAAAGCAACUUUCUCCCUCUUCUCUAAUUGUACCUUCUGAUUCCAGCUGCACCAUGGUGGUGACCCAGACGAGCAACCGUGGAGAUCCUGGGAGGGUUGUGGAGGAUCCUUGGGGUUACACUUGAUAAUUCUUUACAAACUUACCCAGGAACAGAUUGUUUUCUAGAUUUUGCAGAAUCAAGUAUUUAUAAAUCAAACAAUCGUUCUUUUUAUUUUUCUGUCUCUCAUAGCAGAACUUUACUGCCUAAUUAUCCUAAAGUGCUGCCUUGGCAGGGAUGACUGGCCCCCAAAUUUGUGCUCCCUUCCAAGGUGAAGAGUUACUGCUGGCAAGCAGCUGUCCAGCCACAGACCCCGGGUCUCAGUGUCUAGUGCACGUGGGAGGGACCAUGUGACUAGUCCUCACCAAAAGAUCUUGAGCAGAGGUGAUGUGUGUCACCUCUGGCUGAGCCGGUGAAAUUCCAAGUACAUGGCCUUUCAUCUCUCUCUUUGAUUGUCAUCUGUCUGCACGCAGAGGAUCCGGCAUUGAUGACAAGGUAGAAUCACAAGACAGAAGGAGCUUGGAUCCUGAGUCACCAUUUCAGAAGAGAGCUGCCCAGAAGAGCUGCCUGACCAGGAAUAUCCACUUCAAAUUUUCGUGAGCGAGAAAUAAACGUUAAUUGUGCUAAGUUGCUGAGAUUCAGGAUUGUUUGUUACAGCAGCUAGAAUCAGUUACUCUGACUCAAAAACUUUCUUCCUUAGAGUGAAGAUGAGGGUGCAAAAGACAAUGGGGGUAAAGGAGAGGACGGCCCCAUUGGUCACAUAUGUAAGAAGAACACAGAUAACUAGAAACCCAAGUGCCUAGAGUUCCAUACUUCAUAUGUGGAAUCAGCAUCUCUAAUUGUCCUGCCUAAAACCACGGUGCUCAGAUCUAAUACUCAUCAAGCUGCAGUGUGCAGGCCUGCACAGAGGUUUAGAGACAAAUGAGUGAGGGUCCUUUAAGUUUCUUGUGGCAGCAGAGUGCCUGCCAAAUAGAAGCACUCGAUAAACGUUUGUUGAAUUGGAUAGUUUGAGAGUCAGAUGUGAAACGAUUACUCACAAUACGAGAUAAGUGUCCAAGCAGGGCUAGGGGAACAGAUGAUAGAACAACCAGUUUCACUUACACAUGUCAGUGGUUGGAGAAAAGCUCACAGUUUCUGGCUGUCUCUACAGAACAAACACACAGCACAGGGUUCCUUAUACUUCUUGGGUAGAAAUGAAGCCCACAGCUUGGGCCUCACCUCCUGUCAGUGCUGCUCUGGGAAUUCCCAGGCCUCCCUGACUUUUCUGCUGGUGGUCCCAUCCGAGUCACCCUUUGCCGGUUCCCUUUCCUCCUUCCUCCUCCCCUCUACCCCCUGCUGCAUCCUCGCACUGCCCCUGCCAGCACCUCUGCUCUAGGAAGGCUGGGGCUUCUUGCCCUCACCAGGGAGAUGUUCUUGCCUAUUUCCCUGCUUGGCUGCCAGCCCCCACUGCUCACCAAGCCCUCUGAGCCCUGUGUUUGUCUUCUCCAUCCUUUGAUGAGAGGGCUGCACUGUGGCUCCUGGGACCAAGAGGGAGGAAACUGGCACCCCUCUCUCCAGCUGACUGUCAUCUCUCCACUACUGCCUUCUGC
rnacentral:lncRNA from 1 species